CCUACGGGAGGCAGCAGUGGGGAAUCUUCCGCAAUGGGCGAAAGCCUGACGGAGCAACGCCGCGUGAUCGAAUGAAGGCCUCCGGGUUGUAACGAUUUGUUGACAGGGACGAAUAAGCAAUGCGAAUAGUUUUGUGUAUGACGGUACCCGCAAAGGCAGCACCGGCUAACUCAGUGCCAGCAGCCGCGGUAAUACGGAGGGUGCGAGCGUUAAUCGGAAUUACGGGGGGUAAAGCGCUCGUAGGCGGUAUGUCAAGUCAGGGGUGAAAUCCCCGCGCUCAACGUGGGAACUGCCUUUGAAACUGGCAAACUGGAGUGUGUGAGAGGAUGGUGGAAUUCCAGGUGUAGGAGUGAAAUCCGUAGAUAUCUGGAGGAACAUCAGUGGCGAAGGCGACUAUCUGGCACAUAACUGACGCUGAGGAGCGAAAGCGUGGGGAGCAAACAGGAUUAGAUACCCCUGUAGUC
rnacentral:rRNA from 1 species